AUUGAACGCUGGCGGCAGGCCUAACACAUGCAAGUCGAACGAGUGGCGGACGGGUGAGUAAUGUCUGGGAAACUGCCUGAUGGCGGGGGAUAACUACUGGAAACGGUAGCUAAUACCGCAUACCAUCAGAUGUGCCCAAAGGGGAUUAGCUCGUUGGUGGGGUAACGGCUAACCAGGGCGACGAUCCCUCGCUGGUCUGAGAGGAGUGCCCGCCACACUGGAACUGAGACACGUUCCAGACUCCUACGUGAGGAAGCAGUGGGGAAUAUUGCACAAUGGGCGAAAGCCUGAUGCAGCCAUGCCGCGUGUGUGAAGAAGGUCUUCGGAUUGUAAAGCACUUUAAGGUGGGAGGCGUUACCAACAGAAUAAGCACCGGCUAACUUCGUGCCAGCAGCCGCGGUAAUAC
rnacentral:rRNA from 1 species